AACACAUAGAGACACAGCAUCAUGAAGGCAGAGGCUGCCUCGGGACGGCUCUGCCCCAGGGAGCGUGGGGCCAUCUGAGCCAAACAGAAUAGAGGGCUUGGACACAGCCCCGGAUGUGAGUUGAGCUCUGAAUGUCAAGACCAGUCCUGGUUCUAGAACUGCUACAAAGGAGCAGCCACGAGUGUCCCCCGCUCCCAGACCACUCCAAGCUGCUUCUAGAGGGACUGGACAUCCUGGAGCAGAAACAGG
rnacentral:lncRNA from 1 species